rnacentral:misc_RNA from 1 species
CCGAGUUGUCCCAACUCCCAAACCCUUUGUGAACCUUACCUAUCGUUGCUUCGGCGGGACCGCCCCGGCGCCUCUGCGCGCCGGAACAAGGCGCCCGCCGGGGGCCCCAAACUCUUGCCUUCCUAGUGGAUUCUCUCUGAGUUACACAAGCAAAAAUGAAUCA